GACGAACGCUGGCGGCGUGCUUAACACAUGCAAGUCGAACGUGAUUUUUGUGGAAAUUCUUUCGGGAAUGGAAAUGAAAUGAAAGUGGCGAACGGGUGAGUAACACGUGAGCAACCUACCUUACACAGGGGGAUAGCCGUUGGAAACGACGAUUAAUACCGCAUGAGACCACAGAAUCGCAUGAUAUAGGGGUCAAAGAUUUAUCGGUGUAAGAAGGGCUCGCGUCUGAUUAGCUAGUUGGAAGGGUAAAAGCCUACCAAGGCGACGAUCAGUAGCCGGUCUGAGAGGAUGAACGGCCACAUUGGAACUGAGACACGGUCCAAACUCCUACGGGAGGCAGCAGUGGGGAAUAUUGCACAAUGGGGGGAACCCUGAUGCAGCGACGCCGCGUGAGCGAAGAAGGUUUUCGAAUCGUAAAGCUCUGUCCUAUGAGAAGAUAAUGACGGUAUCAUAGGAGGAAGCCCCGGCUAAAUACGUG
rnacentral:rRNA from 1 species